UGAAAAUCUUGAAAACCGACCUCUUUAUUGUGUUCUUUCAGCCUUGAUGGACUAAAUAGCAGAGAACACGAUCAUUAAUCCACUUGCGGACAGAUGAUAUGAGUGGCUGUUGUAUGGCAGAAAACUGUCCACAUGUGAGCAUACGAUGUAGCAAUAAGAAAAUUUGUAUUUUUUCACACGUAUGGCCAGCACUUCGUAUAGGGAAUCUAACAGUCUACACCAUGAUUAUCUGUAUCUCUGUUGAGAACAGACCUGACUAACAGCAUGUCUUAGGAGGAAUAUCUUCUCCUACAGAAGCUUAGACGGUGCUUUCUACCUGAGGUUAGACCUUCUUUGCGCGUUUAUUUGGUCAGGCUUACUGCUACCAAGGGAAAUCACUCCACACGCCCUAAAGCCAUAAGCUCUCCCGGGGGAAAUUCUUUCAUUUCACACGCUGCAAAACGAUCAGCUGUACCAAGCCACCUUGGAUUCUUUGUUGACACAUUUCCCCCCCCACCACCCAAUUUAUUAGGGGGGACGGCAUGGAUGUAAAUUUAUCUCAGCUUAAGUAAUUGAAUGGGGGGAAUCACGGCACUGCCAAUAGCCUUGUUGCAGUCACACUGAAGUGCUUUUCACUGCCAGUACACAGGAGGCAAACGUGGUCUGACAACUUAGUUUGGAGCCAAAAAGAUAAGUGGUUUUAUUAUGCCAGUGCAUCAUUUUCUCCAUAGCAGCAGGAAAGGUUGGACUCUGCCUGCAGUCUUGUAUUUUGGUAAACAGCCGACCACGUUACUAAAAAGGAUAUUUGAACUCAGUGACAUCUAAAUGUCCGCUAUUUGAUUCGGGUGCUUACACUGUUGUGAUACCUAUCACUUGGAAACUGAAAAAAGCACAUUGCCAUUGCAAAGAAUAAAUAAGAUUAGUGAUUAGUCCUACAGAGGCAGAGCACAGACACGAUUAACAUGGUGCCUGAAGCACUUGUGUAGAUGAAAAAUGAUUCACACACAACUAAACACUGCAGGUGUAUGGUAUAUUGUGGGGGAAAAAAAUGCUGUGUUUGAGGUACUGUGCAAACUGAGCAACAGGUAUUCUCUCUCUCUCCCUUUAAAAAUAUACAGCCAAGAGCCAGCACAGGCAGAAAGGAGUCAGAAAUGCAGUUUGCUCCCAGCACAGAUGGUAAAAAGAGUAUUUUGUAGCUAAAACCCUUCAGGAACGUGGAUUUUUUAGCAGAAGACAAGACAAGGAAACAAAUCUGGUUCAGAAAAGACAAACUGCAAAAGAGUGAGCAGCUCUGCAUGAUGGGAGAGUGACAAAUCCAAAUCCAGCGUCCCAAACAUCUGCUCGUCAACCUGCGGGUGACAGUACACAAGCCAAUCAAAUCAUCCAUCGCAUUAUGAGUGAGGUUCAAUCUUCUGCACAGAGCCCAGAGAUGAGAGAUAAAAUAGCUCAUGGAGGGAGACGGGUGUUGGAUAAGAUUUCUCAGGAAUACACCCCCCAAAGACCAAUCAGGAUUGGAAAUUGAUCACAGAAACCUUAACCGGAAUGCCUCCAAAAGCUAUUAUUUCAUCUAAGAAAGGGGCAGAAUCUUGACUGCGUGCCAGGAAGCGUUCAUACAAAGCCAAGACAGCUAUCCAAAAACAGAGCCGCUUUUCUUGUUUCCAGAGCACCACAAAGCUCACACUCAUGCUGCCGCGGCCCUCGGGGCAACACUUCUCCACACAGCAGCUUUUUCAGCCAGUGAUGACCAGUCUGGGAGGUGAGCCAGAGUUCACCUGGCUGACUGGGGUUCAGUAGGUAAACCAAUCCUUGACGUCAUCCUCAGUGUGUUGGCAGCAGACUCUGGACUUUGUGUCACAGCGCUAGUCACGCAAUGCUGUGUGCGCAAACCUCCAGCAACUUUUCAACCCCUGCACACAAGAAAGCCAUCAAGUACCUGCAAUUGACAGAAUCGCGUGCAAUUCAGGUACUCCUGGACUGGACUGGAUCGCAGCCAAAAGGGCGAAGUAAAAAGUGGAAUGGAACGGUGCCAGGUCCUGUGUGAACAGGGAGUAAUGUAUGAGGAAGGAAAGUAUAAUAAAGACUGAUAUAACUUCUAUGUGAAUAUACUUUUUUAUUUAUUCAUGUUUUUUUUUCUUUGGUUUAGGUCAGAGUUUAUCACCUUUACUCCCUUAUCCCAGCUUUGUUGUCACUUAUAUCUCCUCUGCUGUGUUUUAGUCUUAAACGCUUCAUCAGAGUACUUCUUAAAUAUGAUGAAGUUAAAAAAAAAACCAGUCUAAUACACAACAAAAUCACAAAUAAUAGCAAACAUGUAUGCAAGCUUUGAAUCCACAGUCCACAGUGAGUGAGAAGAAAUGUCCAACUUUACUUAGCUUCAGCUUAUUGUAAGUAAGUGGGUUCUGUUCUGAUUUUGAUCUGUGCUCCAUUCCCGAGAAUCCAGGCCUUGUUUUGAAGCUUGAGAGCGUGAUCCCGGCAAUACAAGCAAGCCUGGAGGUGGUUAGGACAUGAAAGUGAGUUAACUCCACUUACCGUCAUGCAUUGCGCAACUACGUUUGGUGAAAACAGCAUGUGCUGAGGCUCUCCGCACAAACUAUGGCUCAGUGAAGCUGCGGCUCUUGACGGGAGCGCGUCGUGUCAGCAGAGACUCUGGCUGCAGCUGCCGCAGAGACCAUCAUUGCGCUGGACCUUGAGGAGGAAUCAGCAUCUUCGGAAAUAAUCGUUCUGAUCGAUUUGCUGGAUUUGCCUGGGCGUAAAUCGUUUAAUGCUGGGGCUCUUUGGACGCAUUAACGGGAUUAAUGGCGACAUUGACAAACGUGGAGAAGUUGUUAUUAUUAUUAUUGUUUUGUUUUUUUGUUUAAACGUGAUCACGAUGACAGCAGCUGAUGGAUUGAAAACUCCAGCUAUGGAUCUUUUCGCGUGUUAUAAGGAAAUGGUGACUUCAGUCUGGGAUGAGUUUCUACUCCUGCCACAGAUUCAGCUGCUGGACAAGUCUCUUGGGAUAUUUGGGAUACACGCGUGGUCAAGUGCUGACAUUUUCAUAGAUGGUUAAUGUUAUAUGCUGAUUUCGAAAAUGAAAUCUGUAUUUGGUGGAUUUUUAUUUUUGCACAGUUGGAUAUCUUGGAUUAUAUUUUGGAAGCUGUGCUCCAGUGGAUGUCCAGUGAUUUGGAUAAUAUGUGCGCAUCUCCUGAUUCCGCAGUGAAGGAAUCCAAAUUCUCGAGAUGAGAGUUCAACCUUUAAUUGCAUCCUAGUGAUCUUCUGAUGAUCUCAGGUGAGCACCAAGAAGGGGCUGAGUAAUGGAAACAUGACCUCAAGAGAUUCAACAGGAUCAUACUAAAUCCCGGUUUGGACUGUUGGACCAGCAUCCUCUGAAGCAGAUGUUUGCUCCUGGCACGGCUGCCGACAACAUGAGCUCCAACACUGGCAAUCUAGCUCUCAGGAUUCAGUGAGCAGCGUGAGCUUGGAGAAGCUAUGACAUAAACGCAGCAGGACGGUGAAUCGCGUUUUGCUGCUCAGACAUCAUGGAACAGAUCAGUCAGCCCCAUCUGGAGAAGUGCUCUAUAGAAGAGUCAUAUAUUUGCCAUAGUUACUUUGAUGGAUACAGCAUGUUGUUUGACUUUAUUUUUCUAAUUGAUUUUAAUAGAAAUGAUCAUUUCCCUCCAUCUAUGUAUCUUCUCUUGUUUUUCAGAUUUUAAUUACAGUGUCGCUCAUUCAGUAACUUCAGCAUUUACUGUGUGAUUUUUGUCAUUUUUGUUCAUGUGACUGUUUUCAAAGUGGCUCUUAUAAAACUGCAGAAGAAAGUUUAUCCAGGGAGGAGCACAAAAAAUGUCUCCUACUGUGUAAAAAGACUUGAUGCACAUGUGAUUGAGAUUGAUCAGAGGAAUCACUCAGUCAGUGGAUAUGUGAUUUUCAUCUUCUUACUGCAGCGACAAAGAAGCCAUUGUCAUUAAUGUAAAACCAUGAUUUCUCCUUCUGACGCUGCAUUUUAUUGUGACACAUUGGCAGCGUCUGCUAAUUUCAGUUAAUAAUCCUUUUAAGCAGUUUAUUCUCAUUAUGAUUUAUGACUCCAUAGCUUUUGUUGUUUUUGUUAAGCCCUGUUAGCAGAAAUUAAAAGGUGUAUCCAAGCUGC